rnacentral:rRNA from 1 species
GACGAACGCUGGCGGCGUGCCUAAUACAUGCAAGUCGAACGCAGUGGGGACGGGUGAGUAACACGUGGGUAACCUCCCAUCAGAGGGGAUAACACUUGGAAACAGGUGCUAAACCGAUACUGAUGGAUGGACCCGCGGUGCAUGAGCUAGUUGGUGAGGUAACGGCUCACCAAGGCCACGAUGCAUAGCAAACGUGAAGGGGUGAUCGGCGCCCUAGGGACGGAGACACGACCCAGAAUCCUACGGACGGCAGCGGAAGGGAAUGUUCGGCAAUGGACGAAAGUCUGACCGAGCAACGCCGCGUGAGUGAAGAGGGGUUUCGGAUCGUACAGCUCUGUUGUUAGAGAAGCGGUAUCUAGCCAGGAAGCCGCGGCUGACUACGUGCCAGCAGCCGCGGUAAUAC